rnacentral:siRNA from 1 species
GCAAACGCAGCGUUUGCGGGUGGC